rnacentral:rRNA from 1 species
GAUGAACGCUGACAGAAUGCUUAACACAUGCAAGUCUUUGGUGAAGCUGUGCUUGCACAGCCUAGCCAAGGCGGACGGGUGAGUAACGCGUAAGGAACUUGCCCUGCAGUCAGGGAUAACAGACGGAAACGACUGAUAAGACCUGGUAAAGUCAGGCGGACUCAUGUCCAGCCUGAUGAAAAGAGAUGCUGCAGGAGAGCCUUGCGUCCUAUUAGCUUGUUGGUGGGGUAACGGCCCACCAAGGCAAUGAUAGGUAGCCGGCCUGAGAGGGUGGACGGCCACAGGGGGGCUGAGAGCCGCCCGUUCCCCCUCGGGGGGGAAGAGGUGGGGAAUAUUGGACAAGGGGGGCACCCUGAAUCCACAAUUUCGGUGUGCAGGAUAAAGUUUUUGGGAUGGAAAAGUGUUUUCAGAAGGAAAAAAAAAAAUGAGGGUACCUGAAAAAGAAGCGACGGCUAAAUACGUG